AUACUGUACUGAGUCGCGAAAGCUAUGAACGAAAUGGUGGAAUAGGCGGCACGAGGAGUGCAGCUAACGGCAAUCAGGAAACAAAGCAGGUCGAUGUGGGACAACCCCGUCCCACUACGGCGCCUGCUCAGUGUAGCAUAACGCGAAACUCCUCGGAGGAAAGUGAAGGCGUAGAUGAAGAAAAACUAUAUUUGGAUCGCUCAACAUCAGAGAAGGGUAAUAGGUUUAAGGACAUUAAUACCUGUUCAAGCAAAACAUCCUCACCAGGCAGCUCCAUAA